rnacentral:rRNA from 1 species
UGGGGAAUAUUGCACAAUGGGGGAAACCCUGAUGCAGCGACGCCGCGUGAACGAAGAAGGUAUUCGUAUCGUAAAGUUCUUUCCUAUGGGAAGAUAAUGACAGUACCAUAGAAGAAAGCUCCGGCUAAAUACGUGCCAGCAGCCGCGGUAAUACGUAUGGAGCGAGCGUUGUCCGGAAUUAUUGGGCGUAAAGGGUACGCAGGCGGUUUAAUAAGACGAAUGUUAAAGAUCGGGGCUCAACCCCGUAAAGCAUUGGAAACUGAUAAACUUGAGUAGUGGAGAGGAAAGUGGAAUUCCUGGUGUAGUGGUGAAAUACGUAGAUAUUAGGAGAAAUACCAGUAGCGAAGGCGACUUUCUGGACACAAACUAACGCAGGGGUACGAAAGCGUGGGGAGCAAACAGG